CGCGGGCACUUCCGCUGGGGGAGUGGGAGUUGCUCCUGAAUUUUCUAUGGGAGCGGUGCGUCAGUUCCGCCUCUCCCAGCGCUUCCAAACUUCCUGAAUCUGUGCUUGGAACCUGCAGCGACAGGGCGGCUUAGGGGGGAUAAAAAGCCUGAGCGGAGCACGCAGCUUGUCUCUUGGCGCAGGUGGCACAGCCUUGAGGGCAGAGCAGCCCCUGGUGAGAACCUAAACUAACCCCUCAAGCCGUAAGGGCUGCCCUGCGCCAGCAAGACCCCGUUUGUGAUUGACCCCAAGAUAGUAAUCCAUUUGACCUUCGCUGCCCACCUGCAGUACCCGCCCGCCUUCACCCCACCUUUUGCUUGUAUAAACCUGGACGUAUUUUCAGGCACUUUGAAGACAGUCUUGGAGCCGUUAGUCUGCAGUCUUUUGGCGUUCGCCUUACUGAGAUAAAUUCUUUUCUUAUUCACCUGGACUAGAUUCUCUGCCUUCGGAUUUUGUCAGCAGCGAGGGACCAAAUGGGGUCUGUUUGGGACCUCCCCAAAGCCAGAUGCUCUUGCCCCCUCCUCCCCACCCCGCCCCCGCUCGCCAGCUAUGGCUGUGGAAAUAAAAAUCUCAAAACAGC